rnacentral:rRNA from 1 species
UACGUAGGGGGCUAGCGUUGUUCGGAAUUACUGGGCGUAAAGGGCGCGUAGGCGGUACCUCAAGUCAGGCGUGAAAGCCCCGGGCUCAACCUGGGAACCGCGCUUGAGACUGGAGAACUAGAGUUCGGGAGAGGAUGGUGGAAUUCCCAGUGUAGAGGUGAAAUUCGUAGAUAUUGGGAAGAACACCAGUGGCGAAGGCGGCUCACUGGCCCGAUACUGACGCUGAGGCACGAAAGCGUGGGGAGCAAACAGG